rnacentral:rRNA from 1 species
UCCGCGACGUCGCGAGAAGUCCACUAAACCUUAUCAUUUAGAGGAAGGAGAAGUCGUAACAAGGUUUCCGUAGGUGAACCUGCGGAAGGAUCAUUGUCGAAACCUGUACCAAACAGAACGACCCGUGAACUAACGAUCACCACUCGCGGUGGGCUGGUUUCUUAUCGAUCCCAUGCCCGCCGGAUCCGUGGUUUCGCGAACUGUCUUGGCCGGGAGCUCUCUCUCGGUCUGGCCGUGCGCGUUGCUUCCGGAUAUCACAAAACCCCGGCACGAAAAGUGUCAAGGAACAUGCAACCGAACGGCAGGCGUUCGCCUCCCCGGAGACGGAGUGUGUGCGAAUGCCGAGCUGUGAUCUAAAGUCUAAAACGACUCUCGGCAACGGAUAUCUUGGCUCUCGCAUCGAUGAAGAACGUAGCGAAAUGCGAUACUUGGUGUGAAUUGCAGAAUCCCGUGAACCAUCGAGUCUUUGAACGCAAGUUGCGCCCUAAGCCUUCUGGCCGAGGGCACGUCUGCCUGGGUGUCACAAAUCGUCGUCCCCCCUCAAUUCGUUUGCGGGUUAGGGACGGAAAUUGGUCUCCCGUGUGUUACCGCACGCGGUUGGCAAAAAUCCGAGCCAAGGACGCUGAGCGCGUUCCGACAUGCGGUGGUGAACUCUUGUCCACUUUCAUAGUGUCGGCCGCUCUUGUCUAUAAGCUCUU